AUGGCGUCCGGCUGCAAGAUCGGUCCAUCUAUCCUCAACAGCGACCUGGCCAACUUAGGGGCAGAGUGCCUCCGGAUGCUGGACUCUGGGGCCGAUUAUCUGCACCUGGAUGUAAUGGACGGGCAUUUUGUUCCCAACAUCACCUUUGGUCACCCUGUGGUAGAAAGCCUCCGAAAGCAGCUAGGCCAGGACCCUUUCUUUGACAUGCACAUGAUGGUGUCCAGACCAGAACAGUGGGUAAAGCCGAUGGCUGUAGCAGGAGCCAAUCAAUAUACCUUUCAUCUUGAGGCUACUGAGAACCCAGGAGCUUUGAUCAAAGACAUCCGGGAGAAUGGGAUGAAGGUUGGCUUGGCCAUCAAACCAGGAACUACAGUUGAGUAUUUGGCACCAUGGGCUAAUCAGAUAGAUAUGGCCUUGGUUAUGACAGUGGAACCAGGGUUUGGAGGGCAGAAAUUCAUGGAAGAUAUGAUGCCAAAGGUUCACUGGUUGAGGACCCAGUUCCCAUCUUUGGACAUAGAGGUUGAUGGUGGAGUAGGUCCUGACACUGUCCAUAAAUGUGCAGAGGCAGGAGCUAACAUGAUUGUGUCUGGCAGUGCCAUUAUGAGGAGUGAAGACCCCAGAUCUGUUAUCAACCUGUUGAGAAAUGUUUGCUCAGAAGCUGCUCAGAAACGUUCUCUUGAUCGAUGAAAUCUCAGCGAGUCCAGUGUUUCUGCUCAUGAAAUCUCCUUUUUAUUGGAAAACAAGAAGUAAGUCCUAGACCAAAGGUUUUGUAAUCUUCCAUUCCGUCUACUGACUGCUUUUUUGGAUGGUGGCCAUUCUCUGGUGCAGUGGUAUAGAAGACUUCACCAUGGAAGGCUGUGCUUGACCUUUCUAUCUGAUCGUUUUUUUCAUCUUGGCAUAAUAAGGCUGCUGUGUCGUCAUCCUUCAGUGGAAAAGCCCGUCGCUCCCACCACAAAGACUGAAAGGGAAAACAUUUCAGUUAAGUUUCGACUAAUUUGUUUUGUUUUAAAAUCAUUUAUCAAGUAAUCUGUAAAUGUCAAUUUUUGUAAUAACUACUGUUCUGUUCUUUUAGUACAGAUAUGUACAAAUUUUCAUUUGAACCCAGAUACCUGGCAACUCAAAGUGGAAUGCAUUGAGAAUUAUUUAGUGAACUUUAGGAAUUUUUUUGUUUUUUAAAACUUGACCUCUGCUGAGAAAAGGAGACAGAGCCAUAGGGCACUUGUCUUCAUUUUCAGCCUAGAAGUACUUUGGAAAAAAAACCAUUUAAGAGUGUUUUAAAGUUUGAUCUACUUUAAUAUCUCCAUUUCUAUGCCAUCAUUAUUACAGACACCUGUUGCCUUUUCCUUCCCUAAGCUUUCUGCAACUUGCCUACCUAUUUCUAUAGCCUCUACUUCUCCAUUCUGACAUUCUUUUUCAACACCUACUUGUGUAUGCAAUGUUAGAAAAUACUCCCCUUGAAGUAAGGCCUGAUCUUUGGGGAGACAAGUAAAAAUUUUAUAUGAGGAGAAAGAAAAGUAGUAGUAAUUCCCCAUAUACCAAGUGAUUUCCAAUCAAAUUUGUUUUGUAAUUAUACUUCAUAGAAUCCCAUCCCCAUAGUUAAGUGAAUAGGGGGAAGUUGGAACUGACAGGUUACAAAAGAGAUUUAAAAGUUUGCAGUUAAUGGUGGAACUAAAAUGCUGGAAUAUAUAUCAUGAUUCUUACCAGCAUUAUACUGGAUUGUUUUACUGAAUUUGUUGCAAUGAUGAAUCCUUAAUUUUCAGUAAUUAAUUUCUAUUAACAAAUUGAAAAAAGUUCAAAGGUAAUUAAAAGAUUUAUCUAAUCGUGUAUUUUACACUUACCUUAGUUUCUUGACUUCCAUUUAAUGAAGGUGAGCCAUGUGCACAAAGAUCUUGACUUUCUGAAGGAAGCUCAGGACUUUCAGCAGUAUAUUGCUGACUACUACCAAAGUCAUUAGAGUAUUCUUUCAAAAACAAGUCUUGUCCUUCAACAUUUUUACUAUAAGCUCUAACAAGAAAAUCAAGAAAACACAUAAUUAUUUGUUAUUUCUUGAGGUCUUAACAUUUUAUGAACAACUCAAGGUGUCAAGAAAUCAAGUUGGUAGACUUUGUUUUGUGUGUGUGUGUGCGCGCGCGCGUGCAUGUGUGUUUUCUUUUUGGUUUGCUUUUGUUUUGGGGAAGACAACAAAGACCCUGACAGUCUUUCUGAAUUCCUGGAAUAUUCUGUGAUUAUUGUAAUGCCAACCGUGAAGGGCUCAAUUCACAUUUUCCUCUGUAGUUCUGGAGAGUUACAUUUCUGAAAUGUGGAGAAAGAUGAGAAUUGAAUCUCACACAUGUUAAGAUAACUUGGAACAAGGGUUCUACAGCAAAUCUGGACGUUUUGAGAUCUAAACAGAGACAUGCCACUUAACUAAAGUGACUACCAGACUAAACAUGAUAUUGCUGUUUGAGGUUUGCCUACAUUAAAAGUAAUUAAACAUAAAUAUAAAAUAUCUUCCUCCAUCUUUUUCAAAAUUGUUGCAGGGAUUCUCUCAAAUAUAAAAUUAUUAAUUAUGUCUUUAUGCUUUAUUCUCUCUUUCUCAAAGUCUUUGUGUUUUUCAAAGUAAUUUAGACUAUUUGCUUUUAAAAUUAAGCAUAUUUCUUGAGAAUUUUUUUCUGAAGAAAAUGUAUUUUUGAAGUAGUUAUGUUAAAAAAGAUUACCAGAUUCUAAUCCACAGUGUUAGGUUCACUGUUACAGUACAUUGAAAUUUAUAUCAUUAUGUUUUCUUCCUUUUUUAGUGGUCUACCUCAAAAUUCAUGCAGAAUAUUUAUUUUUUCUGCAUAAAUUUCAUAGUUGGGGUUUCAAAUUUAUUACACCUGCCUGCUGUUUCUUCUGUGCCACUUGCUUUGUUCCCACAGUGACCACCUGGCUUGCUCUCGUUCUUCAUAUUUUUUGUGUCUUAAGGAGAAGACUUCAUCAGAAAGAUCUUCUAUCUGGAAUUAGAAAUAAAAUUGACUGUUGUUUUUAUCAGAAACAUUUUGAAAUAUGAGAACAGGUUUCAAGUGGGUCUGUGUCAAGAGAAUAUUAAGAAGAAAACUCUUAAAAUAAAUGUAACCCAAGCCAAGAGAACAAAUAUUAUGAGAUGGGCUUCAAAUUCCUAAAAAAGGGAGUUAAACUUUUUUUAAAAACAUUUUACUGUUGGGUCAUUGUUUGAAGACUUACCUCUAAGACUACAAAUGGGUUCACAGUGCUUUCCACUUGCCACAGAUUAGAUAAAAUAUUCUUAAUGCUUUAUUCAUUCAGCAGUUUUUAAUUGUCCAUUAUGAACCACACACUGUUCUACAAACAUGUUAAUAUCAAAGAAAAGUAAGAAUAAUUGUUUGAGAUAAAUCAGAAUUAAUUUACUGAAUGACUUCUCUGGAGUUUUAACCUGGCUAACUGCUUUGAUUGUGGAAUUUAAAAAUUUAGGUUUCCUGGGAAGGAUCAUUCUGAACAAUGAGUGAUGGUAUUAAAAGGUAAAUUUUGAGAGUUGAAGAUAGUGAGCAUUGGGCAUUUAUUCUUUAUAGAAAGAUUGUUGCUUGACAGAAGCCAAGUGUUUUCUACAUACUACUGCUUCUAGAGCCCAUCACUUUGGAAUUAGUUUGGUUAUACAGUAUUUUUCCUUUUAAUUGUUCUUGUCUUACUGUAUAUAAAUUUUACCCAAAAAGGUCCACAAUACCUUACGUGCAAUUCCCAUAUCCAAAAAUCUGAAAAACCAAGUUUUUCAUAAUUUGGUAGCAUAGCCUUACUUGAAAUAAUGUGAGCCUAUUUUUAGUCUUUAUCUCAUUUACUGUGGAUAUUUCACUACACAAACAUGAAUGUUUGAUUAUGAGAACUCUCAUAGACUUCUACAGUAUUAUAAGAUAAAUGUACCACAUUACUGAAGUCCAAAAACUUACAAAUUAAAAAACAUUUUGGCUCCAAGAUUUUGCAUAUAGCAUUGUAGAUCAUUAAAACAAUCUCCAUGUGGAGAAAUACAUGAUUAGUAUUGAGAAUGAAUAUGGAUAUUCACACAAAUUCAAUGUUUCCAAAACUCACAUAAACAAAUGAUAUAAGUGAUAAGGAAAAAUGUCAGAAGUUAAAAGGCUUAUAUUUCGCUUUAGUUCCUUGAAUAUCAAAUUAAGUAGGUUUCAUAAUAUAUAAUGUUCAAUUAUCCAUUUAAUUGAAAGGCAACUUACCUCUUCUUCACCUAAAUUAUGUUCAUCCAAAGGCUGAAGAACAACCAUCCUCCAGCUGUUGAAAAUAUAAACCAAUUUCAAACAGCUUUUAUUUAUCUAAAUUUAGUAAUUUUAUUCUCUUAAGCACAGCUAAACACAGUAGAAUUUUCUUUCUUCGGGACUUCCAUAAUUCAUGUGGAUCUUUUAAAAGUAUUUUUUAAAGCUUUUAAUUAUUUAACUUUCCAGCUUACAAGAAAGUUGCAAAAACAAUACCUAGAACCCCAAUAUACCCCCCAAAACAAAUAUUUUAGUGUAAAAAGGGUAAGGAGAAGAUGAGGCUUUAUUUUUGGCCUUAUAUUGAACAGAAUGUUCUGCAGAGCUGCAUUUAAAUCUACCUAAUAGUGGACUGAUUUUGGAUUAAAUCAUUGGUUUGGUAUGCUGGUGAUCUAGUUUAGCCAAAACAACCGUGAUUUGUAGCACUUGCCAGUUUCCAUGGCCUCUUUUGAGUUACCAGUGAUUUGACAACUGGCUCACAGAAUUCUUCUGUGUUGAACAACAGCUCUGCUGUAAGCCAGCUCCAGCAUACCACUGCAACUUGAAAAACACUGUUGCUAAUAGAACAUCAUACCCACAAAUGUUAUUCUUACUUAAGUAAAAUACAUCAAGAAAUUCUCUGAAGGAGUUAUUAUACCUCAUAGAGUAUUAAGAAUUCUCUUAAUACCUCUUAAAGUAAUUAUGAGGUGUAAUAAGUGAAAUUAUGAAAUUACCUAGGAAAGAGAUGGAUAGUGAUUACUGCAGUAUCUCCCAGGUCAGUUCUCUGUUUCCAGCCUCUUCUGUCUCUACUUCCUGGUGCCAGAUUCAUAUUCUUAAGAAACUGCUUUCCUCAUUGCUAAAAAAUUUGACUAACUUCACGAACAGUAAGAAAAGAUAUGUAUAUGGCAUUCAAAAACCUUCAUAAUCUGGUUCUAACUUUUUUUUCUAGCCUUAUCUCCUGUUACCCCCUUCAGAAAACCUCAAUCUCUGGCUAAGCCUUGUACACUUUUCUUUGGACCUUUGUUCUGGUCUUCUCCCUAUGUGAAUACCCUUUUUACCUUCCCCCUCCUUCGUGGAUGUCUUUUCAGAACUUCCCACUCUAGUUCUUACUGAUCUCUACUUUGAACACAUCAUUCUUUUUGAUGUGUUGAUUGCAGACUUGGCAAAAAAAAAAUCUAAAUCUUGUUUUUGUUAUCAAAGGUGUUAUUGUCUUACAGUGUGAAUACCCCAUGCAAAGGUAGUUUCUUUCAUCUUUGAAUUCUUUUCACAACUUUGUACAAACCUCCAUCUUUAAGGGCUAGGAUUGAUAAAGUACCUCUUAGUGCUAUAUACAUAACAGAUACCUAAAUAUCAUUGGAUGAAACAACUCUAAGAGUGCUAAAGUAAGUAAUUCUAGGAAUUCCCAAUUCUUAAUAAGAACUGAAAAGUUUAGUUGUGGUACUGUAUGGCACCGUUUCUUCAGUUCAUACUGAGAUGUAAGGUAAAGGGUUCUUUUACAUUUGUCUUCCAUGGUUACAGCAAUGCAAAGGGAAGUGGGGAGCACUUCCUGCAUUUUCCUGUAGAUUUUAUUAAAAUUCUAACUUCAUUCUGAAAUUUUUAGUUUAUAAAAGAAAAAGAAGGAAAGAGGAAAGAAAAAAAAAUGUAAGUAUACAUACCUUGGAGUAAGUAUUUCCUUAUAUUGGAGUUUCUCCAACUUAGCUGGGGCCACUAAUGACAUGGGAAUCACAAUAUUAUCUAUGUCAUAAGAGCUCUCACUUCUCAACCUCCGCCUUGCAGUAUUCUGCAAAACAGGAUUACAGUAGUUUUUCAGUAGUAUCUUUAGUUACCUGUGAUGAUACCCUCCUUUCAUGAUACAUAUAAAAUAUGACAGUGCACCUGUUAUAAUUUUUGUAAAUACAUUUUAAAAAAAUCUGGCUAUAAAAUGUUAAAAAAAGUAAGAAGGCAUAUCUAUCUUCAGUAAACCUCAGUAAUCUCUUCUGAUAGCAGUGUAUAUUUGUGUGCACAUCUCAAGCCUAUUUUUUAAGACCAUAAAAUGCAAAACUCUUAUCAAAAAAGGUGAACAUAAAGCACCCUAAGUGUGAAUAAACUUUUUUAUUAGAAAAGGAUGUGAAAUAUUUUUUGGUUCAUUUAGUAAAGAUCAUUUUUACUAUUUUCAUUUGUGUGUCUCGGUCCUUGAGCUGAAUUCACACUGUCCUUUUUACCUUCCACCUUGUACUUCACUUCUCCCUGGCCAUAUAACAAAAAAAAAAAAACAGAAUAAGAACAAGACGAGUGUUGAAUUGUCAUUGGCAAGACUAUAUUUAGAUUCAUG